GACGAACGCUGGCGGCGUGCUUAACACAUGCAAGUCGAACGGAAAGGCCCCUUUGGGGGUACUCGAGUGGCGAACGGGUGAGUAACACGUGAGUAACCUGCCCUUGACUUCGGGAUAACUUCAGGAAACUGGGGCUAAUACCGGAUAGGAAUCCUUGCUGCAUGGUGGGGGUUGGAAAGCUUCGGCGGUUUUGGAUGGACUCGCGGCUUAUCAGCUUGUUGGUGGGGUAGUGGCUUACCAAGGCUUUGACGGGUAGCCGGCCUGAGAGGGCGACCGGCCACAUUGGGACUGAGAUACGGCCCAGACCCCUGCGGGAGGCAGCAGUGGGGAAUAUUGCACAAUGGGAGGAAGCCUGAUGCAGCAACGCCGCGUGCGGGAUGACGGCCUUCGGGUUGUAAACCGCGUUCAGCAGGGGCGGAGCUUGUGGUGACGGUACCUGCAGAAGAAGCACCGGCUAACUACGUG
rnacentral:rRNA from 1 species